rnacentral:rRNA from 1 species
GAUAACGAACGAGACCUUUAACCUGCUAAAUAGCCCGGUCCGCUUUGGCGGGCCCGCUGGCUUCUUAGAGGGACUAUCGGCUCAAGCCGAUGGAAGUUUGAGGCAAUAACAGGUCUGUGAUGCCCUUAGAUGUUCUGGGCCGCACGCGCGCUACACUGACAGAGCCAACGAGUUCAUCACCUUGGCCGGAAGGUCUGGGUAAUCUUGUUAAACUCUGUCGUGCUGGGGAUAGAGCAUUGCAAUUAUUGCUCUUCAACGAGGAAUUCCUAGUAAGCGCAAGUCAUCAGCUUGCGCUGAUUACGUCCCUGCCCUUUGUACACACCGCCCGUCGCUACUACCGAUUGAAUGGCUCAGUGAGGCCUUCGGACUGGCACAGGGACGUUGGCAACGACGACCCAGUGCCGGAAAGUUCGUCAAACUUGGUCAUUUAGAGGAAGUAAAAGUCGUAACAAGGUUUCCGUAGGUGAACCUGCGGAAGGAUCAUUAACGAUUUUGGCCCUUCGGGGCCGAUCUCCAACCCUCUGUCUACCCUACCAUGUUGCUUUGGCGGGCCGUCGUCGCGCACCCUCGGGUGAGCACGCCGUCGGCCUCGGUUGACGAGCGCCCGCCAGAGUCCACCAAAACUCCGAUUUAUCAUGUCGUCUGAGUCUUAUAUUUAAUAUAAACAAAACUUUCAACAACGGAUCUCUUGGUUCUGGCAUCGAUGAAGAACGCAGCGAAAUGCGAUAAGUAAUGUGAAUUGCAGAAUUCAGUGAACCAUCGAAUCUUUGAACGCACAUUGCGCCCCUUGGUAUUCCGAGGGGCAUGCCUGUUCGAGCGUCAUUUCACCACUCAAGCCUAGCUUGGUAUUGGGUCGUCGUCCUGUUCAAGGGCGUGCCCGAAAAUCAGUGGCGGUGCCCAUCCGGCUUCAAGCAUAGUAACUUACAUCUUGCUUUGGAAGUUCCGGUGGGUCCACUCGCCAACAACCCCAAACUUUUCAAGGUUGACCUCGGAUCAGGUAGGAAUACCCGCUGAACUUAAGCAUAUCAAUAAGCGGAGGAAAAGAAACCAACAGGGAUUGCCUCAGUAACGGCGAGUGAAGCGGCAACAGCUCAAAUUUGAAAUCUGGCCCUUUCAGGGUCCGAGUUGUAAUUUGUAGAGGAUGCUUCGGAAUGGCCCCAGUCUAAGUUCCUUGGAACAGGAUGUCAUAGAGGGUGAGAAUCCCGUAUGUGACCGGGUUGCCGGCCCAUGUGAAGCUCCUUCGACGAGUCGAGUUGUUUGGGAAUGCAGCUCUAAGUGGGUGGUAAAUUUCAUCUAAAGCUAAAUAUUGGCCAGAGACCGAUAGCGCACAAGUAGAGUGAUCGAAAGAUGAAAAGCACUUUGGAAAGAGAGUUAAAAAGUACGUGAAAUUGUUGAAAGGGAAGCGUUUGCAACCAGACUUGCCCGCAGUUGAUCAACCGGUGUUCUCACCGGUGCACUCUUCUGCGGACAGGCCAGCAUCGGUUCAGGUGGUCGGAUAAAGGUUGGAGGAAUGUAGCUCCCCCCGGGGAGAACUUAUAGCCUCCGGCGUCAUGCGACCUACCUGGACCGAGGACCGCGCUUCGGCUAGGAUGCUGGCGUAAUGGUUGUAAACGACCCGUCUUGAAACACGGACCAAGGAGUCUAACAUCUAUGCGAGUGUUUGGGUGUCAAACCCGUACGCGUAAUGAAAGUGAACGGAGGUGGGAAGCGCAAGCUGCACCAUCGACCGAUCCUGAUGUCUUCGGAUGGAUUUGAGUAUGAACAUAGCUGUUGGGACCCGAAAGAUGGUGAACUAUGCCUGAAUAGGGUGAAGCCAGAGGAAACUCUGGUGGAGGCUCGCAGCGGUUCUGACGUGCAAAUCGAUCGUCAAAUUUGGGUUAAAGGGGCGAAAGAAUAAUCGAACCAUCUAGUAACUGGGUUCCUGCCGAAAUUUCCCUC